rnacentral:rRNA from 1 species
UACGGGGGGAGCAAGCGUUGUUCGGAUUUACUGGGCGUAAAGGGCGCGUAGGCGGUCAGCACAAGUCAGUUGUGAAAUCUCCGGGCUUAACUCGGAAAGGUCAACUGAUACUGUGCGACUAGAGUGCAGAAGGGGCAACUGGAAUUCUCGGUGUAGCGGUGAAAUGCGUAGAUAUCGGGAGGAACACCAGUGGCGAAGGCGGCUUCCUGGCCUGUUCUUGACGCUGAGGCGCGAAAGCUAGGGGAGCAAACGGG